rnacentral:rRNA from 1 species
GACGUAGGUGGCGAACGUUAUCCGGAAUCAUUGGGCGUAAAGGGUGCGUAGGCGGUCGUGCAAGUCGGAUGUGAAAUCUCAGGGCUCAACCCUGAAACUGCAUUCGAUACUGCGCGGCUAGAGUGCUGGAGGGGAGACUGGAAUUUACGGUGUAGCAGUGAAAUGCGUAGAUAUCGUAAGGAAGACCAGUGGCGAAGGCGAGUCUCUGGACAGCAACUGACGCUGAGGCACGAAGGCCAGGGGAGCAAACGGG